GCAGAUAAUCGAACAAAGCCUCAUAUAACCUCGGGAAUAAGGCCCGAAAGUCUCUACCUGACCACCGUAAAUGGACAGACUAUGAGGGGAAACGAAUGUGUA
rnacentral:ncRNA from 2 species